rnacentral:rRNA from 1 species
CCUACGGGCGGCAGCAGUGAGGAAUAUUGCUCAAUGGGCGUAAGCCUGAACCAGCCAAGUCGCGUGAGGGAUGAAGGUUCUAUGGAUCGUAAACCUCUUUUAUAAGGGAAUAAAGUGUGGGACGUGUCCUGUUUUGUAUGUACCUUAUGAAUCAGGAUCGGCUAACUCCGUGCCAGCAGCCGCGGUAAUACGGAGGAUCCGAGCGUUAUCCGGAUUUAUUGGGUUUAAAGGGUGCGUAGGCGGCCUUUUAAGUCAGCGGUGAAAGUCUGUGGCUCAACCAUAGAAUUGCCGUUGAAACUGGGAGGCUUGAGUAUGUUUGAGGCAGGUGGAAUGCGUGGUGUAGCGGUGAAAUGCUUAGAUAUCACGCAGAACCCUGAUUGCGAAGGCAGCCUGCCAGGACAUGACUGACGCUGAUGCACGAAAGCGUGGGGAUCAAACAGGAUUAGAUACCCCAGUAGUC